rnacentral:lncRNA from 1 species
UUUUCUCAACUCACUGGCAGAAAAAAUCAUUCUCGUCCUGUUUCCAGAGGUGCAACAGGAGGUUGGCAAGAGUAAGUCUUAAAGAACAGCAGUGAUGCCUGCUAGGGCCCUGACAGAUUGGCAAUAGAACUGGGGCUAGAGUCUACACCGCAAGAGCUCCCGUGCGUUUCCACAGUCAAACAACCCAGAAUGCUGAACAUCUUACAAUCUGAAGAAUUUGUCCAAAAACCAGACAGAAAUGGAGGAAGCUCUCUCCCAAGUAUCUGCAUAAGCAACGUAGGGCAGAAACACUUUCAAAACUCUGUCGUGUCCUGGGGGCAAGAGAUGUUUUUGAUAGAUGUUGCGAUGACAGCAGUUCACAGCAGCCCCACAUUCAGGGAACUGUUCCAGCGCGCCAGAGGUUGGGAGGCUUUUAACUCUCUUCAUUCAUCCUCACACACGCCAGCUAAGCGAAAGCAACGUGAAGGAGCUGACAAACCACAAAGACCAGGAAAUGCAGAGUAAAUGCUGAUCGGAAGAGCAGUAGAAGUCUACAGGCCACCCUUUGCCCAUUCCCACUCCUCUAGUGAAUCUGAAUGGCAGAGACUGAGGCAAUUCUCCGGAUUUCUGAAUCUGCCCUUCCUUAAAGGCUGCUGGAAAGGAUUGUACCGCCAAAGGGAAGAAAUCUCAGGGAGAUGCUGCCCCCUUCUGGGAAACAUGCAAAAGUAAAACCCCAAAGACAAGGAAUUUCCUACCUGUUCUGGAAUUCUCGCUGUGGAGAUGCACUGCUCUGUGUUCUGGGGAUAACCAACACAUUAUAUGCUAGAUGCAAUUGCCUGCAAGAAGAGGAAACGUGGAUUAGAUUCAUCAUUGACUCACCAUUGAGACCUUCCUUCAAAGACAGGAAAAAUCUCUGAGAGGGAGGGGCCGGAUUUAAGAGGUUAUUGCUGCCAUCCCCUGCCUCUGAGCAAGAGCUGAAGCAUGGCUCAGUCUCCUAGCACCCUCAUCUUUAAAAAGAAAAUCUCCCUCUGUCUGAUAAAUCCCUUUCCUGCUACACGUUCAAGUUCACACUUCCCUUGGGUCAGGGAUUAAUGGGGUGAACAAACCAAAUCUGAGCACCUAUUAUUGCUUAGCUCAGGAAUGCAAGCCAUAGCCUUGCCCUUGGGGAGCUCACAGUAUAGUCAGAGGGACAGAAAGGUAGUCCAAGAGAAAAUAUAUGUAACAUGCGUGAAUGUGCCUGGGUGUUACAGGGGUGUCCGGGAACACAGACUAGAUGGGGGUGCAUCAGGGUCCUGAAGGUGUCCUCAUGCACCUUAACUCAGCUUUAGAGAAUGUACAGGACUUAAGGAGUGAUGGUCAAGAAGGAAAGCGAUAAAAGUGUGAGACUGUGCACAGCUAGACGUGCAUGGCGAGAGGAAAAACAUUCCUUGUUCUUUCUUUCUGUCUUGUUUUCUUCCCUGUGGGGAUGAGAAAGCAAUAGGCCACUUCAGCUUGAGUUGAAUGGCACGCCAUUGAAAGCAGCCGCUGGACUGUCAGAGUUUACAUACAACCUUCUGGCCAUAAAUAGCACCCUGCAUGCACUUACACACCCCCUCUGAAAAUAGCAUUGGCUGUUCUCACAGUGAUUUGAACUGAGAGUUUAUAUUUAGUUUACUCUCUCCCAUCUAUUUAUAUUUCUUUUGUUUACAUAAAUAUCCCUCUCGAUUUAUUGCUGUCACGUCUGGGCACCUGACAUCAAUAGAAGAACACAUAGCAACUUCAUUCCAUAUGAACUGGGCAGUUAAAUCCAUCUCCCCCUUAUCUUUGAUGUGUUCUCAAAUGCACAUCUUAGAAUUCCACAAUCCCAGGCUUGAAAAGAGACUUGAGAGGCUUUUAUUUUCCUCCUCCCCUCCCUCCAGCUAGAUUCCCUGGCACUGGACUGUUUAAAUUUCACAGACUUCCCAAAAAGGGAGCUGUACCCUACGCCUUUGGUCCAAAAUUGGCAUUUUUCAGCCAUAGAUUCAUUCUGCUGGAGCCUGUGAACAGUUCACUCUGCUCGAAGGGCGCUUCACGAACUCACAGGCUGUAUCCCUGCAGUCAAUUCCUUUCCCCAACCAACAUGCCCACUUUAUUUCCCUGCAGCCCUCA